ACAAACUUGGUCAUUUAGAGGAAGUAAAAGUCGUAACAAGGUAUCUGUAGGUGAACCUGCAGAUGGAUCAUUUCGAUGAAAACCUUUUUUUCUGAGGUGUGGCUCGCACCUGUCCAACUAAACUUGAGCUACCCUUUUACAACACGGUUGCAUCGGUCGGCCUGUCAAACAGCGCGCGCGAAUGUGCGUCUGGGCGACGAGUCGGCACUUUACACAAACACUUUUGAUAAUCUAGGAUUUGAAGGAAAAAAGUUUCAUUUUUACGAUGAAAUCCGACUGGUAAUGCGGUCGUCUAAAUCUAAAAACAACUUUUGGCAACGGAUCUCUUGGUUCUCCCAUCGAUGAAGAACGCAGC
rnacentral:misc_RNA from 1 species